rnacentral:rRNA from 1 species
AGAGUUUGAUCCUGGCUCAGGAUGAACGCUAGCUACAGGCUUAACACAUGCAAGUCGAGGGGCAUCAUGAUCAAAGCUUGCUUUGAUUGAUGGCGACCGGCGCACGGGUGAGUAACGCGUAUCCAACCUUCCCCCCAGUAGGGCAUAGCCCGGCGAAAGUCGGAUUAAUACCCUAUGUUUUCCAAUGAGGACAUCUGAGCUGGAACAAAGAUUUAUCGCUGGGGGGUGGGGAUGCGUCCGAUUAGGUUGUUGGCGGGGUAACGGCCCACCAAGCCCGCGAUCGGUAGGGGUUCUGAGAGGAAGGUCCCCCACACUGGUACUGAGACACGGACCAGACUCCUACGGGAGGCAGCAGUGAGGAAUAUUGGUCAAUGGGCGUAAGCCUGAACCAGCCAAGUAGCGUGCAGGACGACGGCCCUAUGGGUUGUAAACUGCUUUUAUGCGGGGAUAAAGUGAGGUAUGUAUACCUUUUUGUAGGUACCGCAUGAAUAAGGACCGGCUAAUUCCGUGCCAGCCGCUGC